rnacentral:rRNA from 1 species
CAGUAGCCGCGGUAAUACGAAGGGGGCUAGCGUUGCUCGGAAUGACUGGGCGUAAAGGGUGCGUAGGCGGCGAUCAAAGUCAGGCGUGAAAUUCCUGGGCUCAACCUGGGGGCUGCGUUUGAUACUUGAUUGCUAGAGUGGGGAAGAGGGUCGUGGAAUUCCCAGUGUAGAGGUGAAAUUCGUAGAUAUUGGGAAGAACACCGGUGGCGAAGGCGGCGACCUGGUCCUUGACUGACGCUGAGGCGCGAAAGCGUGGGGAGCAAACAGGAUUAGAUACCCGGGUAGUCCCUGUCUCUUAUAC